UACGUAGGGUGCGAGCGUUGUCCGGAAUUAUUGGGCGUAAAGGGCUCGUAGGCGGUUUGUCACGUCGGGAGUGAAAACACGGGGCUUAACUCCGUGCCUGCUUCCGAUACGGGCAGACUAGAGGUAUGCAGGGGAGAGUGGAAUUCCUGGUGUAGCGGUGAAAUGCGCAGAUAUCAGGAGGAACACCGGUGGCGAAGGCGGGUCUCUGGGCCGAUACUGACGCUGAGGAGCGAAAGCGUGGGGAGCGAACAGG
rnacentral:rRNA from 1 species